GUGGCUAUAGUGUAAUGGCAGCACGAAAGAUUGUGGUUCUUUUAGAGCGGGUUCAAAUCCCGUUAGCCACCCCA
rnacentral:tRNA from 1 species